UUAGAUUUGUUGGAUUCCUGACAGGAAAACUACUUUACCUUAUGAUAUACCAUCGCUCCUCUUAACAUGAAGGUAGGUUCAAACAUCAUUUUUUUUUCUUCAAAUGACUGAUCAUACAAGAUCGCUCUUCUGCUGUGCAGUUUCCACAUAUUGUUCUGCAAGUUUCUUCACCUUCUCACCCUCUUUAAUCAGGAAAUUUGCAUUCUUGGCAUUUGAAUGAUAUUUCAUAACCUUGUCAGUAGUUUUUGCCACAGCCCACCUGUACUGUUCUGCUGUAAUCACACCACUUUUGCACAGUGGCCUGAGAUGUUCUUUGAUGUAAGCUUCCACCUGUAGGGUCCAAAAGCUAGAUUAGUAGAAAUUAACUGGUGGAUAUUCAGCAAAAAUAAAAAAGACAAACAAAUUAACUAACUAAAAAGAAAGACCUGGUGGACAGAACAUUACUCAGAAAAAUGACAGGACUGCUUCUCACAAAUGAAAUUUCCAGAAUUGUUAUUAUAUUGAUAAGUCAUAGAACAAAUGUAGAGGUAAAGAACGAUAAGAAAAAAAGAACUAACAGCAGAUGUGUCUGCUAGUACCUUUUUGGAUAUAGAGUUAAUUACAACAGAUUGCUUGUUAGUAUCAACACUUAGCUUCUUUUCCUUCCUGCGGGUAUUUUCACUGGUUUGAAUCUCAUCUGACAAAUUUUCCUCACCUACAGUGUUAUGACAAUUGGUGGCAACAGUUACAUUGGCCGCAGCACUCUCACUUCCAAGUUUCGAUACCUUUACUAGUUGGUUUGGUAUAUCAUUGUCAUUGUUUUCAGGAACUCGUUUCCCAGCAUGUACUGCUGCAUUGACCAAACAAUAUAGCUGUGAAGAUUCUCCUUCUGGAAAUUUAUUUACAAGUGGUUCCUUAUCAGGGCCAUAUAGUUCUUCACAUUCUGCCAGAGAAAGCUCCUCACCUUCUUCAACAGCUUUAGAUUGGAAAGACACACAGGACUUAUCUGUCCCACCAUCGACAGUUGAGCUUCUGAUCUCAGUAUCAGCAUGACCCGGCUGCAAGCAAGGAGAAUCACUAGGUACCUCAACACUUCCCAAUGUCCCGAUAAUUUCUGAGGAUCUUUCAGAGUUAAGAGUGGAGAAAACUACUUUCAUUUUUGAGCCACUUUCUUCUGGCAGCUUAUUCAAUUUUGCAGUGGAACCAAUGUAGUCUUCAUCUUCCAAAUCAUAUUCAAAAUCACCAUAAAUAUCGAC
rnacentral:lncRNA from 1 species